CUCGAUCCCAGGAUCCUGGGAUCAUGACCUGAGCUGAAGGCAGACAUUUAACGAUUGAGCCACCUAGGCGCCCAAUAAAUCAAACUUUUAGACGUCCUAAUUGGACUUGUAACUCAAAUAGGACCAGCCUCAUUAGAAGGAGUGUUUUAGGCUUGCUGUUGAUCAUGAAAGAGUUCUAUUUGUUACUACAUGUCUACAUUUGAAAAUAAGUAAAAUCAUAGAGACAAGAAAUAGGCAGCAAUAAUCUUCUCUCGGGGAUCAUGUUUUAUCAGCCAUGAGUAAAAAGCAUUUGUAGACCCUAUCUACUUCAUCACAAAGCUCUUACUUGGGGCCAUGCUUUGGAAAUCAGAUUGUAGUUGUAGGAACUGCCCCCACCCAGAUCCCAUGCAGUAUUCUGCCUUGAUCAUACCAUGCAAAGUUGGAGCCAGGGUGGUGAGCUCUUGACCCAGCCACACCAGUUUCAAAUAUUUUGCUAUACCUCCUUCUGAAUAACCAGGCAAUUAUAAAUGUGUCAUUAUUAAAUGGAUUUAUUUUUUCCAGAUCAAUUGAUUUUUGAGACAGCAAGUCUCCCUUUGUGUUUCUGUGCUUCUGAUUUUUCCUCCUAGAAAUUGCUUCCUUAAAACUCUGCAUUCAUAUUUACAUAACCUAUCCCUGUCUUACAGUUCAUUUUCACAUUACCUGUUCAGUUAAUCUUGUACCACACAAAAUCUCAUUAAGCAUGAGCAAGAGUAAGGGAGACGCCUCCAAAACAUGAUGAUUGUGAAGAUUCCCAUUGACAGUGCGAAGUAUGACAAUGUGCCUGGAACAUUCCCAGCUGGAGUUCUUUAAGUUGUUUGAACGGGUUUGGGAUUGUAAUACAUGCUUCUGAUGUGAUAUAUGUUAAGACAGUUCAUGUAAUAGAAAUGGAGUAAGCUUAUUAUAUUUUUAUGCAUUUGGACUACUACUGUACUUUGUUUUCCAUGAGAUUAUGAGAAGAUGGGUGGUGCUGUUAAGAAAAUGGGAAGAUGUGGAGAACAGUUCCAAUUUAGUGGGAAACUCGUUUUCAUUUUCUGCUCUUUGUAAAUCGAAUUCCAGAUAUAUUACCUAUAUUAGACUCCCAUUGCUUCAUUUUUUUUUCCACUUUGAAAAUGAGUACCUUCAGACUGGGAAUAUUUUUGGGUCAGUGGGGGUAGCUGCCUAGAGCACUUCGUUGAGACUCCUGAGGCUACAUCUGGUCCACAGGAAGGAGUGCUGUACCCACCCAUCCAUGUCUUACCAGUGUCUGCCGUGGGCAUCAGAUUGAGAAGUGGUGAUACCUUUGCUCAGCCCUUUGUAGAUAACAUACUAUUUUUACUGUAGAGGUUUAGAUCCUCUGGGAAGAUGGAAAUUCUCAAAGUCACAUUGAUGAAGACUAGAUUUCUGGGAAGCUAUGUCAUUGGGAAUAUAGACACCCUUUUUUUUAUGGGGAAGAUGUCAAGGAGUUUAAAAUGUCUGCCAAUAAAAUGUCCAGACAUAAAUCUACGUUUUAGUAUCACUGAUACCUGUUAAAAAAAUUCUGACUCACCUAGCAAGUCUUAAAUUAUUCUGAUAUCCAAUCCUAAUAUCAUAAAAUGUGCCACUCUUUAGUAAAUGCAUUUUGGACAAUCUCUUGUGUAAUUUACAGAAUUUUGUUUAAGCAGUUGGAUCAAAUAGAAGACACCUUCCUUUUUACCUUUUUUGCUUAAGAUGAAUCCAUGUUUGUUGAGCACCCAGGUGCUCAUUUCACCCUAAUGCAAAUCUUCUAAGUGAGGAACCUGAGGAGGCUCGGCUCAUGGCGGUCCCUAAGCCACACAGCUAGCCAAGUGGUAAGAGGGAGGGUCGGAGUCCAGAACAGGAAAAGUAUAGGAAAUUAAGUUAAUACUGAUGGCUUUCUUUACUGAUGGCUUUCUUUACUCUGGGGACCAAGACUAUUGUCCUUAACGUACCUGGAGGUCCUGGGCAGCUGGCUCUCACCUACCUCUCUGAUUUCAUCUUUUGCACCCAGUUGACUCGCUCACCCUUUGGGGAAUGAAGUCUCUUGCCUUAGGUGCGUUUUCUUCUGCCUGGGAUGCCCUUGCUGUUCACUCCAUCUGGUUGUUUCUUAGCCUCUGGUUAAAUAGUAAUUUCUCAGAGACUCGACACCAACUAUGUCCAGUCUUGUGGCACUCUGCUUUUUCUUCAGAGAGCUUGUCACAAUUAAUGGAUGUGUGUGGGGUUAUGUGUAUUUGAUGUCUCCUUAGACUGGGAGUUCCUUGAGGACAAGGACCAUGUUUCUAUCCAUUGCUGUUCACAGAGCCUGCAGUGUGGCUUGCAGUAGAAAUCUAAGGCAGUGUGAGGUGCUGAGUGGAGUCUUCCCUGUUUUCUAAGAAGAGGUGAGAAGAGCUCACAGCUAAAAACAAGGUCUUGAAAAUCCUCACUUUUGACAUUUAGGUACUUAAUCCAUUUUGAUUUUGUGUGUAUGGUGUUAGAAAGUGGUCCACUUUCAUUCUUUUACUUGUAGUCCACUUUUCCAACUCAUGUAACAAUGUGUAACUACACUAAAACAAAAAAAUAAAAUAAAAAAAUUCAGGCUUACAAAAAAAAACCCCACUUUUCUCUGGUCAGAGGCCUGCAGCUCUGUGGCCAGCAUUUUCCUGCAGACCUUUUUCAAAGGGUUAUUUCAGUAGAACCAAUUCUUUAAUUGCAUUCAUCCCUCACACACAAGUAAAAGGGCUGGAAGAGGGAGAGAUGUCAACUUUGGGGGGAACCUCCCUCAGAGAAGGGUGCAUUCAACUUGGAGAUCAUCUUUUGUCUGAAAAUCGGUGAGCAUUAUCCCAGAAAGAGGCUCUCAUGCCCAGACUCUGCAAAGCUAAGAGGAGUGGAGAGAGGAAAGGACGAAUUGAGUGGGACACAGAUGGGAGGUUUCUUGGACACUGGUCUGAAGUGAAUCCAUAGAAAAUGGCUGGGGACUUAAGCUUUCUGGCUAGUGCCCAACAGGAGAGCACUCCGCACGACCCCUGCAGGGAACCCUGGCUAUGCCUCUCAGCAAAGAGGUCACAGAUGUGCCCUCCCAGGAGUGGGCCAGGAUAUGGAGGGUAUCCCAAAGUGCAGGCCUCUAGCCAGGCAGAAAACACCCCCACCAAGGGUUGUGGCGGGGUGGGGGUGGGGCAUCUCCGGAUUCUCUUCUGAACUUGACGAAGAGGCAAGCCAGCAUUCUGAUGGAGCUUUUUUGAAAGCUGUCAUUUCCUCAGAACCAGCUCUCACAUUCACUGAGGACAGUCAUGAAAGGAAGCAACCAAAGAAUCAGCUCAUGGAGAAGGUGAGGUGUGCAGGUGGGAGAGAAACCACCUCACUCCUCCACCCCAUACCCCUAGAGCAUCAAGACCUGCCUCAGCUGGAGAGAGCUACAGAGCCUACUGAAUCUGAGGAGUUGCAAUUCACAAGAUAAAAUGAUUCAUUAAAAGAACAAAAGGACUAUAAAAUCCCCUCUUGCACAGAAGGCUGCCUGUCAGUAUUCCUUUCCUACAGAGUCCCUCACCUGCUGCUUCUAGCACGUGAAGGAGUGGAAAUACCCGUGCAAUCCAACCACUUUCAGUGGCCUGUGGGCUCCCACUACUGCUCCUUCUCCCUUCUCCAGAAUUUAGCCAGACAGCAGAAUCCAGUAAGGAAAUUUGUUCACAAUCAUCUGUCACAUUUGCCUGAAGGAAACUUGCGGGAGGGCAGAUAGGAGUUUUCCAGGGCUGCCUCUAGGUUACCUUUCAGGGGUGUGAGUCCAAGACCAAUAGAUUCACUAAGAAUAUCCCAGUGUAGGUUGGGGGUGGGGGUGGGUUGGUGAAAUAGAUAAAGGGGAUUAAGUACACAUAUCUUGACAAACACUUAAGAAAUGUAUGGAGUGGUUGAAUCAUUAUGUUGUAAACCUGAAGCUAAUAUAAAUGUAAUUAUAUUUGAAUUAAAAAAAAAAUCUUUUAAAGAGUAUCCCAAUGUAGAAUCAGCUGGCUUCAACAAAAGCAACAAAAACUUUUCCAUGCACCUGACUUUUAAUGUCUGCUCUCUGGAAAUCAAGUUGUAAAUGACUGACCAACCUACUUGUUAGCCCUAUCAUUGAGGAGAGGAACUGUAGAGAUCAUUCUCUCUAGCAUUUUUCAAGCUGUGGGUUUGAAAUCAAAUAUGUCUUGAGCAGCAUUUUUUAAAAAAUAGAAAAUAAUCAGAACGCAUAGCAUGUGGUAAGGGUAAUACUACUUCAUGAAACUUUGCAGUUGCCUGCUUGAGUGUAUGUUGGUGGGUUGGUGUACUGGGACAUAACGCAUUAAAUUCACAAGUCACUGAUUUAGAUGGUAGAUUCUAAAUCUCAUUGGGUAUUUUACAUUUUGGAACUAAUGCUCCGCAUGGUGAAGACACUUGUCCGAGGUCAGUAGCAACAGGGUAGGAACUCAUCCGUCUCAGUCUUCCGGUUAAUGUGUCCCUUCAUCUCACGGGCCUGGGGAGAAGAGCAGUAGCUCAUAUUCAGUGAGUGAUUACUAGGUGUCAACCACUGCACUUAAAUAUUUUGUAGGGCAAGGGGGUAAGUUGGCUUUGUGUUUCAUUUCAAGUGAAGUGUGCAUGGCUCACUGGUGACCAAUCAGUGCUGCAGUCCACAGCUAGAUAAAAUACAGAAGUUGUGAAUAAACAUUGAAAAUUUUCACAGUGUGGCAGAGUAAUUUUAUGACUGUUGAAUCUAGUAAUAAAACAUUGGCUUGCA